rnacentral:rRNA from 1 species
CCUACGGGAGGCAGCAGUGGGGAAUAUUGCGCAAUGGGCGAAAGCCUGACGCAGCGACGCCGCGUGAGGGAUGAAGGUCUUCGGAUCGUAAACCUCUGUCAGCAGGGAAGAACGGUCACUGUGCUAAUCAGCAGUGAAUUGACGGUACCUACAAAGGAAGCACCGGCUAACUCCGUGCCAGCAGCUGCGGUAAUACGGAGGGUGCGAGCGUGUACCGGAAUGACGGGGCGUAAAGCGCUCGUAGGCGGUAUGUCAAGUCAAGGGUGAAAUCCCCGCGCUCAACGUGGGAACUGCCUUUGAAACUGGAAAACUUGAGUGUUGGAGAGGAGAGUGGAAUGCCAGGUGUAGGAGUGAAAUCCGUAGAUAUCUGGAGGAACAACAGUGGCGAAGGCGACUAUCUGGCACAUAACUGACGCUGAGGAGCGAAAGCGUGGGUAGCAAACAGGAUUAGAUACCCCUGUAGUC